ensembl:lncRNA
GUUCAGACUAUGUGACCUGAACGCAGCAUUAGCAGCAGGUGUCCAUAGCAACGGUUAGCCACUAAUGCUACUUGAUAGCUUGCGGCUAAGCUACUUUAGGCUAACUGAUACGUCUGAAACGGAUUUCCAAGAGUUCAGCUGACAAAAAGCACGUCUUAAAAAUGGAUUUGAACACAGCUUCGCUUUUUGCCAGUGGGAAGCGAUGUGUAAAGGCUGCACUACCUCCUGCUGAGACGUUUCAGAUACUCCAGGGCUCAUCGGGGAGAUGGUAACUCAUCAACCAAGUUGGACGAUGCUACGGAGGGAAUUGGAGCCAUAAAAGUGCUGUUCAACCGUUAUUGGUUGUUGCGAGCAGGAGGUCAGACAUCAGGCAGAAGAAUAAAGAUUUUGAAUGUGUGAAG